UACGUAGGGAGCAAGCGUUGUCCGGAAUCAUUGGGCGUAAAGCGCGCGUAGGCGGCCCUGUAAGUCCGCUGUGAAAGUCAAAGGCUCAACCUUUGAAAGCCGGUGGAUACUGCAGGGCUAGAGUCCGGAAGAGGCGAGUGGAAUUCCUGGUGUAGCGGUGGAAUGCGCAGAUAUCAGGAGGAACACCAAUAGCGAAGGCAGCUCGCUGGGACGGUACUGACGCUGAGGAGCGAAAGCGUGGGGAGCGAACAGG
rnacentral:rRNA from 1 species